rfam:Felis catus isolate Cinnamon breed Abyssinian chromosome B2, whole genome shotgun sequence.
GGGGAUGUAGCUCAGUGGUAGAGCGCAUGCUUAGCAUGCAUGAGGUCCCGGGUUCGAUCCCCAGCAUCUCCA